ACCGCUGCCGCGGGCGCUCGGGCGGGCCGGGCGCGCUGGCACGUGCGGGCGCGGCCGCAGGUAGGUGCCUGCGGCGGCCCCGGGCCUAGGGUGCGCAAGGGCGUCCGGCCCCAUCCUCGCCUCUGCGCCGGGGUCCGGGGCUCCCCACUCGGAGACCCCUAGCGCCCCGGCCUGGCUCGAUGGGCUGGAAGGAGGAUUGGCCUGCCGAGUCGCCAAGGGGACCUUGGCCCUAGUCCCUGGCUGGAUGCCGCGAAACCUCAGGACAGUUGCAUGGGCUCUUUGGGUGCGAGAGGGGACGGCCUGCCCCUUUGCCCAACACUGGUCUCUGCCUUGGGUCUGCUGCCAUCCUCACCGGACUUGGAUUCCUGCCCCGAAUUCCAUGGAGUCCCUCAGCCAUAGCUGCACCUAGUCUCUUCUCUUCGUGGACUCUUGUCUCUCCUUGCAGGUGCCCCCUGCCCCUUGAAGCCCUCAGCUCCUUGCCUCCUCAUGCCUUUCCCGACCCCAGGCUACAUUCCACCCAGCUUCUCUCCUGGGGUGUGAGAGGAACUUUUUUCCUUUUCUGUGUUUGAAUGCUCUCAAGUAUGGAUUACUUCAUCCUGACUUAUGUGUGUCCCCUCCCCGCUAGGACUGGGCUCCUGGAGGCAGGCACUGGAGCUACAGAACUGCUGCGCUCCCAGGAAGCACUCAGUGUGUGACCCCGGCACUCCCUCCCAUGCCUCCCUCUGUUCCAGCCACAGGCUUUGUCCUGUCUCCUCACCCAAAGUUCUGCUGGCUUUAGUGGGUGUUCAGGGAUCAGGGGGACCUGCCCUGGCUCACCUGGCCAGCCUCAAGGCCUUGGUGCCUGCUCAUCCUUCCCCCUUCCUGGGACCCCACCCAGGGUGGCAUGCUGGAAAGGGGUUUGGGUGGGGAGAGGAGAGGCCAGGAAUGGAGGAGACAGUGUUUGAGCUGGGGCAGAGUGGUAUCCAGCCCUUACUGGUGACAGAUGGGGAACAGGCCAGAGUGGCUUGUCCUGGGUGCACCCCUGUGGGUGGUCAUGCAUGCACACAUGUGUUCUUCAGACAAGCUCAGACUGGUGAGAGUUAACAGCACAGUAGCAGGAGUUCAACAUCAGCAGGAACUCUCCCAGAAAGUCAAGCAAAAAGACAAAAGGUGGGGGAAGAGAAAAUAGAGGAAAGUGGACAGAAGUUGUCCAGGAAAUAAUGGGAUAGUGGAGCCAGAGCCUCCAAAUAGCUAGGACCCCACAACUUGUUUGGGGACUCAGGUAUCCUGGGACCACUAAGGGCUUUCGGGUCACAUUCCAAAGGAUCAUUAAGAAAGCCGAGGUUCCUAGGGAAAGUGAUGGCUGACCCCAAGGUCCAUAUCAAGAGGAAGGAGAAAUCAGGAUGUUUCAGGCCACAGGUCAUCACAGAUUAGCUUAGUAUACUGCAGGAUGCACUCCAGCAAAAAAAAGGGAGUAAAUGAAGAAACAGGUGCUGCGCUAGGAAGGUGAGUUUUGUGGGGCUGGAUGAUCAUCUGAGGGGUUUGACUGAGGCCACUGAGGGGAACUGAUCAUCAGAAGCAAAGAUUACGAUUUUAAAAGAAGGCUGUCGGGCAAGAAAUGGACAAGAAUGAAAAGGGGGAAUGGGGACUCUGGGGCCUUGAUUUCAACAUGCAGUUGGAGAUACCUGAACAAUGACCUGUUGUAUGUACGUGUGGAUUUGUUCAUGAUGGCCCUGUGGUGAUGUGCUUUUAAAGUCCUUUUAAUAAAAAAUAAAAGUCCGUUCAGA
ensembl:lncRNA